rnacentral:rRNA from 1 species
UAUACGACCGUACCGCAAACCGACACUGGUGCGUGAGAUGAGUAUUCUAAGGCGCUUGAGAGAACUCAGGAGAAGGAACUCGGCAAAUUGACACCGUAACUUCGGAAGAAGGUGUGCCCUAUUAGUGUGUAGUGAACAACGAAGCAUGAAUGGGUUGCAAAAAAUCGGUGGCUGCGACUGUUUAUUAAAAACACAGCACUCUGCAAACACGAAAGUGGACGUAUAGGGUGUGACGCCUGCCCGGUGCUGGAAGAUUAAAUGAUGGGGUGCAAGCUCUUGAUUGAAGUCCCAGUAAACGGCGGCCGUAACAAUAACGGUCCUAAGGUAGCGAAAUUCCUUGUCGGGUAAGUUCCGACCUGCACGAAUGGCGUAACGAUGGCCACACUGUCUCCUCCUGAGACUCAGCGAAGUUGAAAUGUUUGUGAUGAUGCAAUCUCCCCGCGGAAAGACGGAAAGACCCCAUGAACCUUUACUGUAGCUUUGUAUUGGACUUUGAACAGAUCUGUGUAGGAUAGGUGGGAGGCUUUGAAGCAGGGUCGCUAGAUCUUGUGGAGCCAACGUUGAAAUACCACCCUGGUGUGUUUGAGGUUCUAACCUAGGUCCAUUAUCUGGAUCGGGGACAGUGCAUGGUAGGCAGUUUGACUGGGGCGGUCUCCUCCCAAAGCGUAACGGAGGAGUUCGAAGGUACGCUAGUUACGGUCGGACAUCGUGACGAUAGUGCAAUGGCAUAAGCGUGCUUAACUGCGAGACUGACAAGUCGAGCAGAUGCGAAAGCAGGACAUAGUGAUCCGGUGGUUCUGUAUGGAAGGGCCAUCGCUCAACGGAUAAAAGGUACUCUGGGGAUAACAGGCUGAUACCGCCCAAGAGUUCAUAUCGACGGCGGUGUUUGGCACCUCGAUGUCGGCUCAUCUCAUCCUGGGGCUGUAGCCGGUCCCAAGGGUAUGGCUGUUCGCCAUUUAAAGAGGUACGUGAGCUGGGUUUAAAACGUCGUGAGACAGUUUGGUCCCUAUCUUCCGUGGGCGCUGCAGAUUUGAGGAAGCCUGCUCCUAGUACGAGAGGACCGGAGUGGACACACCUCUGGUGUAUCGGUUGUCACGCCAGUGGCAUUGCCGAGUAGCUAAGUGUGGAAGAGAUAACCGCUGAAAGCAUCUAAGCGGGAAACUCGUUUCAAGAUGAGAUCUGCCGGGGCCUUGAGCCCCCUAAAGAGUCGUUCAAGACCAGGACGUUGAUAGGUCAGGUGUGGAAGUG